rnacentral:rRNA from 1 species
AUUGAACGCUGGCGGCAUGCCUUACACAUGCAAGUCGAACGGUAACAGGCCGCAAGGUGCUGACGAGUGGCGAACGGGUGAGUAAUGCAUCGGAACGUGCCCAGUCGUGGGGGAUAACUGCUCGAAAGAGCAGCUAAUACCGCAUACGACCUGAGGGUGAAAGCGGGGGACCGUAAGGCCUCGCGCGAUUGGAGCGGCCGAUGUCAGAUUAGCUAGUUGGUGGGGUAAAGGCCUACCAAGGCAACGAUCUGUAGUUGGUCUGAGAGGACGACCAGCCACACUGGGACUGAGACACGGCCCAGACUCCUACGGGAGGCAGCAGUGGGGAAUUUUGGACAAUGGGCGCAAGCCUGAUCCAGCAAUGCCGCGUGCAGGAAGAAGGCCUUCGGGUUGUAAACUGCUUUUGUCAGGGAAGAAAUCUUCUGGGCUAAUACCCCGGGAGGAUGACGGUACCUGAAGAAUAAGCACCGGCUAACUACGUGCCAGCAGCCGCCGUAACAC